rnacentral:rRNA from 1 species
GAUCAUGGCUCAGGACGAACGCUGGCGGCGUGCUUAACACAUGCAAGUCGAACGGGAUGAUUUAGAAGCUUGCUUUUAGAGAAUCUAGUGGCAAACGGGUGAGUAACACGUAGACAACCUGCCGACAGGAUGGGGACAACAUUCCGAAAGGAUGCUAAUCCGAAUGAAGUCAGAGGAGGGCAUCCUCUUCUGAUGAAAGAUGGCCUCUGAAUAUGCUAUC